rnacentral:ncRNA from 2 species
AUAUCAUCUUGGGGGUGCUGUCUUUUCCACUGUCUUCAGUGACCACCGGUAAACGAUAGCUGAGAUUAAACCCUUGUAACUUGAUGCAGGUAAUGCUGACGCAAGAAAAGAUGAAGCUGGCCUU